rnacentral:rRNA from 1 species
GAUGAACGCUGGCGGCGUGCCUAAUACAUGCAAGUCGAGCGAACGGACGAGAAGCUUGCUUCUCUGAUGUUAGCGGCGGACGGGUGAGUAACACGUGGAUAACCUACCUAUAAGACUGGGAUAACUUCGGGAAACCGGAGCUAAUACCGGAUAAUAUUUUGAACCGCAUGGUUCAAAAGUGAAAGACGGUCUUGCGGUCACUUAUAGAUGGAUCCGCGCUGCAUUAGCUAGUUGGUAAGGUAACGGCUUACCAAGGCAACGAUGCAUAGCCGACCUGAGAGGGUGAUCGGCCACACUGGAACUGAGACACGGUCCAGACUCCUACGGGAGGCAGCAGUAGGGAAUCUUCCGCAAUGGGCGAAAGCCUGACGGAGCAACGCCGCGUGAGUGAUGAAGGUCUUCGGAUCGUAAAACUCUGUUAUUAGGGAAGAACAUAUGUGUAAGUAACUGUGCACAUCUUGACGGUACCUAAUCAGAAAGCCACGGCUAACUACGUG